rnacentral:rRNA from 1 species
CAAUAGCGUAUAUUAAAGUUGUUGCAGUUAAAAAGCUCGUAGUUGGAUUUCUGGUGGGAGCGAUCGGUCUGGCGCUUAGCGCGAGUACUUGCAUCGUCUCCGGCCAUCCUUGGGGAGAGUCUGUCUGGCAUUAGGUUGUCGGGCAGAGGAUCCCCAUCGUUUACUGUGAAAAAAUUAGAGUGUUCAAAGCAGGCUUAUGCCGUUGAAUAUAUUAGCAUGGAAUAAUAAGAUAGGACUUUGGUACUAUUUUGUUGGUUUGCGCACCAAAGUAAUGAUUAAUAGGGACAGUUGGGGGUAUUCGUAUUCCGUUGUCAGAGGUGAAAUUCUUGGAUUUUUGGAAGACGAACUACUGCGAAAGCAUUUACCAAGGAUGUUUUCAUUAA